UUCCGUGAUCUGCCGGAGGGCACUGCUAUAGGAUUCGAUUAAGACAUGCGAGUCUUUGAGUAAUCAAGGCGGACUGCUGAGUAACACGUAGUUAACCUACCCUUAUGUCAAGAAUAACUUGGGAAACUGAGAAUAAUGCUUGAUAAAAGAUUAUGCCUGGAAGGGUUUAUCUUUCAAAGCUUCGGCGCAUAAGGAUGGGACUGCGGUGGAUUAGGCUGAUGUUGAGGUAAAUGCUUAACAUACCUAUAAUCCAUAGGGGCUGUGAGAGCAGUAGCCUCCAGAUGGGUUCUGAGACAUUAACCCAGGCCCUACGGGGCGCAGCAGUUACGAAACCUUCACAAUGCACGAAAGUGUGAUGAGGGAAUCCUAAGUGCUAGCACUUUGUGUUAGCUUUUCUCAAGUCUAAACAGCUUGAGGAAUAAGUGGUGGGUAAGACCGUUGCCAGCCGCCGCGGUAAUAACGGCGCCACAAGUGGUGUCCAUGUAUAUUGGGUCUAAAGCAUCCGUAGCCGGUUUAUUAAGUCUUCUGUGAAAUCUUUUUGAAAACAAAGAGGCGUGCAGGGGAUACUACUAAACUUGGGACUAGGAAGGGUUAGAGGUACUCUUAGGGUAGGGGUAAAAUCCUAUAAUCCUAAGGGGACCAUCUGUGGCGAAGGCGUCUAACUAGAACGGGUCCGACGGUGAGGGAUGAAAGCUAGGGGAGCAAAGCGGAUUAGAUACCCGCGUAGUCCUAGCUGUAAACGAUGCCCGUUAGGUAUUGGAUUUCUCUUGUAGAAAUUCAGUGCCGUAGGGAAGCCAUUAAACGGGCCACCUGGGAAGUACGUCCGCAAGGAUGAAACUUAAAGGAAUUGGCGGGGGAGCACUACAGGGGGUGCGGUCUGCGGUUCAAUUGGACUCAACGCCGGA
rnacentral:rRNA from 1 species